rnacentral:piRNA from 1 species
UCCAGCAAGAGGUGGCCGAGACUCACGAU